UACGUAGGGCGCAAGCGUUGUCCGGAAUUAUUGGGCGUAAAGAGCGUGUAGGCGGCCAGGUAGGUCUGCUGUGAAAACUCGAGGCUUAACCUCGAGACGUCGGCGGAAACCAUCUGGCUAGAGUCCGGAAGAGGAGAGUGGAAUUCCUGGUGUAGCGGUGAAAUGCGCAGAUAUCAGGAAGAACACCCGUGGCGAAGGCGGCUCUCUGGGACGGUACUGACGCUGAGACGCGAAAGCGUGGGGAGCGAACAGG
rnacentral:rRNA from 1 species